CACCGUUGUAUCCUUCCGUUCCCAGUCGUCGACAGCGGCCGGAUCCCAUGAGCGCGGACGCUCGCGCGCGCGGGUGUUGGAUUUUGCCGGCCAGUUCGCGCGCGAAUGCUCCCCUUUAUCCACAUCCCGCUGGCUUGCUCGUCACAAGCUCUCCUCAUCCGCGGCAUCAACCCUAGCAGCGGCGGCCAGCACCAUGGGGAAGCAAGAGAAGGCGGCGACGGCCUCUACUCCUCUGCUGCCCCUUGAAAUCGAGCGCCACAACCCUGCGAGUGGGGGAGCAGAGGUAGGAUCGAAUCUUUUCUCCAAUCCCUCGACUAGAGCUACCCCGCCCUUUGGAAAUCCUCUGAUCUGGUGAUUUGGGGGUCGGAGCCUUGGAGGCUUCUUGAUUUGCGCCGUGGAGGCUUCUACUGGUCACUGUGAGGCCAAGCACUUGGCUUAUUUCAUUUGUUUAUGUGUUCAUUGACUGGCAUCAGUUGCAGCGAUCUUUUUUUUUUGAGGGAUUUAUGGCCAUGUGGAGCACUACAACGUUAGGCUGAGCGACAAAUGGUCUGUCGGAGAUGCUAUUGCUCAUCCAUUGUUCUGACUGUAUUUCUGCUGAGAAUUGAACUGUAUGAAUCGAAUCAUUGCUUUCUAUCCAUGUAAAUAUAUAUUAUAUACAUCAUUAUUCUAAGAGUUAUACGAAUUAUUUGAUAUAUUGUA